rnacentral:lncRNA from 1 species
AAAAAAAAAAGAAGAGAAAUAUGAAGGUGUUCGGGAGCGUUUUACCGACCCUCCAUUGGGCCGAAGAUUCAAUACUAGAAGGGCUGGAGAGACCGAUGGGCCGAAGCCCAUGAAGGUGUUGGAGGUGUUCGGGUCGGCAUUUGAGCCCUUCGGGACCAUAGCCGAACCUGGUCUUGUGAUGUUCGGGGUCGGGUCUUCGAGUUCUUUGGGCCGAAGCCCAGGUUAGAUUAUAGGACCGUUUGGGCCUGCACAGUGGGCUCUCCUGCGUGCAGAGUCCGGGUACCUAUUCAUAUGCAUAUAAGGUAACUCCAAAGGUGGUGAUGAGAUUGGACUCUACUUGCACCUUUUAAGGAGAUGGCGUUGGACCCAAGUUAUGGUAAUUACCAUAUACUAGGAGUCCUAAUCCGACUGGAAGAAGGAUUCUAAGGUGGUGAGUACUAUAAAUAUGAGGCCUAGGUUAUCAUUAUGAGGUAAUACCCAUUUUUAAGCACUAAAUACUUAUCCUCCAUUGUUAAACCUUGUAACGGCUUGUACUCAUUCUCACACCGGAGCUAUCCCCCGGCGGCAUAAGCCGUCAAGCUUCUGUGUGAUCCGUUACUGUGCAGGUUCUAGCGCGUGGAUUCUGUGAUUGGACGCGCCGGCGAAACUUGGCGUUAACAUUGGCGCUAGAAGGAGGGCAGUGCUUAAAUAACAAUCACAAUCAAACCCUUUUCAGGUAAGGAACUAUGGCGAGUGUGGAGUAUGCAGUUUCCGACCGUGAAAAGGCCAAAACACACCAGACCACUCAGGUGAGAGGAUCGGUGAAAGACAGACUGGGCUCCAGAACCCAGGACGAUCAGAUGGAGCCGGCUGGCUCCCCCCGACGAAGACUCUUCCAUGAGAGCCAGCAUACCCGCAACCAGGCCAGUCGGAUGGACGAAGCCAAUUCGCGAGCGUUGGAGGCGCGGGAAAAGAGUCGUAGCCAGGGUAGUCGAGAUCAGAGAGAAUUCAUCUUGCAGAAAAAGAUGCAGCAAAACAAAGAUGCCAUAAUGAUCCUACGUCUUCAGCAGGAAGAGCUCGAACUGCAGAUGGCCAACGCGCUCGGGGAGGAAGAGGCGUCCUCUAAGAGGCGCAGGCACCAUAGCCGGUCUCGGUCACCCCGAAGGGAAGGGGCUGAAAGGGAAAAAAGUAGGUAUAGAAGUCGUUCGAGGGAUGGCCGAAGCCGGAGAAGAAGCCGGUCAGCAGGACGACGUUCCGAGCACCCGGGUCGGUCUGGGCAGAGGAGAAGAGAGGAGAUUCCCGAACGUGAGAAGGACAGACCCCAUUCGUCCCCUCACGAAGGAGAAUCCGACCCCCUCGCUCGAAGAGUGGCUGAAUUGGAGAAGCUGUUGUUGGUCAAGAGCCCGGUCGGAGCGCCCUCGACCUAUAUAGGGUCACCCUUCUCUCCGAAAAUUAAUCAGGAGAUAGCGGACCCCAAAAGGAAGAUGCCCCCGAUGGAGACUUAUGACGGGCUGGGGGACCCUUACGACCAUUCUGAUGGGUAUGACAGGUUGAUGACGUAUUAUGGCCACUCUGAUGCAGCCAAGUGCCACAUGUUUGCUACUACCCUGAAGAAAAGCGCCCGGGAAUGGAUGGGAACCUUGGCGUCGGGAUCGAUAACUUCAUGGAAAGACCUUCGGGAAAAAUUUCAUGCACGGUUCGGGAGUAAUAAGAGACGGGGGAAGAUCACAGCAUCCCUCAUGCAGGUCAGGCAGAGAUCAGAUGAGAGCCUGGGGCAGUAUGUUAAGAGAUUUCGGGAGGCUGUGGGGUCGGUGGUGGAGCUGAAUUCCCCACAAGCUUUGGGAUUCUUCACAACGGGGCUUGACAUCGGAAAAUCAAAGAAGCUGAUGAAGGACCUGGUGAUCAACCCCCCGGCCGACCUGACAGAGGCCUUCCAUAGGGCCGAAGAUCACAUAGCAAUCGAGGAAGCGAUGGGGAAUUUCAAACCUCAAUCCCACGAGAAGUACCGAGAUCGGGACAAACAGAGCUAUCAGAAGUCUGACAAUCAGGGGAGGUCGGAUAGCUACAAGAAAAACUACAAACGGGGGGGGGCGGUGGAAGGCCACCCUUCCCAAAUAAAGGGGUCAACAAGGUGUACACCGCACUCAAUACAGAUCGGGCCAAGAUACUGGAAGAGAUGCGAAGCAAGCCCUUUUUCGAACCAUGUCAAACGAUCCCGAAGCCAGGGAAGAGGGGUCGGAACAAGUAUUGUGCGUACCACCAGAGUCGGGGUCACACGACAGAAGAUUGCACCAACUUGAAAGACUUAAUAGAAAAGAAUGUCCAGAACGGGAAGUUGGUACAGUACGUAGUUGGCCGAGAAGGGUCGGAAGCCCCAGGAGAGGACAACAGCGAGCCCACCCGACAAGCACAGCCGCAACCGAACCCACAAGCUCGAGGAGUUAUUGAUGUGAUAUCAGGCGGGUCGGUAGGGCGUGUGACUGGCAGGAAAAGGAAUGGACAUCUCGCAGCCGUACUAUCAUUGGCUGGGUCCUCGCCCAGAAAGGACAGGCCAUAUUCAGGCACGAUCAUCUCCUUCUCAGACGACGACUACCCCACAGAACAGAUCGAACCGCAUGACGGGGCACUGGUAAUCACGGCUCAGGUCGGGCCAGUGGACAUGAAGAGGAUGAUGAUCGACAACGGGUCUUCGGUUGAUAUACUCUACACACAUGCAUACCAACGGAUGANNNNNNNNNNNNNNNNNNNNNNNNNNNNNNNNNNNNNNNNNNNNNNNNNNNNNNNNNNNNNNNNNNNNNNNNNNNNNNNNNNNNNNNNNNNNNNNNNNNNUGAAGACGCGUUCCAGGAGAUCAAGAGAUAUUUGGGUUCGGCAGCAUUAUUAAUGAAACCGAUCCCCACAGAACCUUUAUACUUAUACUUGGCUGCGAGCCCGAUGGCAGUAGGGGCGGCACUGGUAAGGGAUGAGGGAGAUAAGCAAUUCCCGGUGUACUAUGUCAGCCAUGUUCUCCGAGACGCAGAAACGAGAUACCCGAACCUGGAAAAAUUUGCUUACGCCCUCAUAAUUGCUAGCAGGAAACUCAGGCACUAUUUCCAGGGUCGGUUGAUAGUGGUCUACACAGACCAACCUUUGAAGAAGAUUUUGCACAAGCCUGAAGUAUCAGGUCGGUUAGCCGCUUGGGCAAUGGAAUUGACACAAUUUGUUAUAGAGUAUCGUCCCCGAACGGCAAUCAAAGGGCAGACAUUGGCUGACUUCGUGGUUGAGUGUUCUUUCACCGAACCGGAGGCGAAUAUAGUAGCCGAAACACAACCAAUCCAGACCUCAUGGACUCUAUACGUGGAUGGAUCGUCAACUAUGGAUGUCAGUGGAGCAGGGGUCAUCCUAACAAGUCCCGAAGGGUUCAAGGUGCAGCAAGCUAUUCGGUUUGGUUUCAAGGCCACAAAUAACGAAGCAGAGUAUGAGGCCAUCUUAGCAGGGAUACGAUUGGCCCGAAGCCUAGAGGUACAGCGGUUGAUCAUCUACAGUGAUUCACAGCUGGUGGUCAAGCAGUUAUCGGGCGAGUACGAAGCCCGGGGGGCAAGGAUGACCAAAUAUUUGGCUGAGCUAAAGGAUAAGCUUAUGUACUUCACUUCAUACAGUUGUCAGGGGGUGGACCGGUCAGAGAAUACGAUAGCAGAUGCCUUGGCAAGGCUGGCAACAACUGAAGCAAGCUCUUUCAAUGGAUCAGUGUACUUGGAGGUUCUGUAAAAACCCAGUGUCCCAAAGACAGAAGUCUUGGCUUUGGACCGGCUCAAUUGCUGGCUCACACCUUAUAUCUCAUACUUGGCCAAUGGGACCCUCCCUUCGGACCGAAUCCUAGCCAGGUAAGUCAAACACCGAAGCUCGAACUUCACCCUCAUAGAUGGAGAUCUAUACCGAAAGGCCUUUAGCUCUCCACUGCUCAAAUGCUUGACUCCUUCAGAGGCAGACUACACGCUUCGGGAGAUGCAUGAGGGAAUCUGUGGGGAUCACAUGGGAGCAAAGUCACUGGCGCAUAAGAUUUUGAGGCAGGGGUAUUACUGGCCAACCAUCUACACUGAAGCAAAGGAAUUCGUUAGGAGGUGUCCCAAGUGCCAGCUGAACAGCAAUAUCCUGCACCAACCCCCCGAGGAACUAUAUUCCGUCUUGUCCCCGAUCCCGUUUGCUAUGUGGGGAAUCGACAUUCUGGGGCCUCUGCCAAAAGCUAAGGGACAAGUUAGCUUUGUGAUCGUGGCUAUUGAUUACAUGACAAAGUGGGUCGAAGCCAAACCACUGCAAAAGAUCACCAAACAGGAGUGUUUGAAGUUUUUUAAAGAAGGGGUAGUCUACUGGUUCGGUAUCCCGAUGGCAGUGGUCUCGGACAAUGGCAGACAGUUUGUGGGGUCUAAGUUUGAAGGCUUUUUAAAAGAAUUAGGGAUCCAGCAUCGCAAGACUUUGGUUGCCCAUCCUCAGUCAAACGGCCAAGUGGAAGUGACCAAUCAAACCCUACUCAAUGAGAUUAAACGCAGAUUAGAUGCAUUAAAGGGUCGGUGGCCCGAAGAACUGCUAUCUGUUUUGUGGGCGUAUCGAACUACCCCAAGGACUACAACUGGAGACUCCCCAUUCAGGUUGGCAUACGGGACCGAUGCACUCAUUCCUGUUGAGAUCGGAUCUCCAACUCUUCGAGUCAGCCAAUACAAAGAGCUAUAUAAUGACGAGGGUUUGAGAACAAAUUUAGAUUUAUUAGAUGAAGUUCGGGAUUCAGCCAUGAUGAGGUUGGCGAUCUAUCAGCAGCGAACAUCCCGACACUAUAAUCAGAAGGUGAAGACAAGGAGGUUUCCAAUACGAGAUUUGGUCCUCCGGGAGUCGGAGGCAUCAACCCCCCAAAACACUGGCAAGCUAAUGCCCAACUGGGAGGGACCUUAUGAGGUGGUAGGAGUGCCGAAGCCAGGAACCUACCGGCUUCGAGUAAUGGACGGUUCGGAGGUAAAGAAUACAUGGCAUGCUGGAAGACUUAUAAAAUUUUACCAGUAAUAGUUAUGUCGUUCUUAUUUUUAUCCAUGUAAUCGUUUCAAUUCAAAUGAUAUAAAUGAAAGUUCCCAUUCCUGUCAAUGUUUAACUUCAUCUAUAUUCAUAUAUUUCGUUACUACUUGAACAGACAUGCUUCGGGCACUAUCCGAUCAAGAGCUUCGGAAAAACUCCACUGAUCGAGAUAAGUCCCGAGCAUAACUGACCAAGAGUGUAAUAAAUGCUUACAGUACAGAUCUCGGGCACUAUCCGAUCGAGAGGUUCGGGCAGACACCACUGAUCGAGAUAAGUCUCGGGUAUAACUGUUGACCCUCUAAAAUCAGAUAAACUCUAAGGACGAUCCGAUCAGAAGGUUCGGGUGGACAUAACUGAUCGAGAUUAGUCAUAAGUGAAACUGACAAUAAGCAUUCAUGGGCAAAGAGUAUAUCUUAUUUAUACUUAUAAAAUUUUUACUUUACAAACCCGGUCGCUUACGAUUCGGGCUAAGUACAAAAAAGGAAAAAUUUUCUAUAUUACAAAUCCUACAUAUCUACUCGGCAGGGGGGUCAUCUUCAGCGUCAGACUCCUCAUCCGAAGAGUCAAGGACGGAGACAUCAAGCCCAGCAGCCAUUAACUUUGCUUUAGCCUUUUCCCGAUGAGUCUCAUACCCUUCACCAAAUUGGGUUAUGACCUUAUCCUUCAAGGCUUCAGAUUCCUCGUAUUCGGCGAUGGCUUGCUGUCUGGCUUCGAUCAUCUUCUCGGGAAAGGCGUUGACGGUAGCAGUCAAGGUGUUGUUCUCCUUGAUCAAGAACAUCAUCUUGUCGUGCAUCUCGGAGAACUUGUGUGUAAUGCUGUCAAUAGCGCUCUCCCGAUCCUUGACAUCUUGGAGCAGACGACCCCUCUCUGCCAGAAGAGCACUGUGCUCAUGCUCCAGCUCUUCGACCCGGCCCUCCGCUCGGGCCGCCUGGCCUCGGGUCUCAGCAUGAGAAUCCCGUUCCUUCUUCAGGUCUGACUGCAGACCCCGAACUUCAGCCUCCAGCAGCUCCACCUCCGUCCCCAGCUGAACUUCUUUCUUUGUGGAUCGGGCGAGGGGAGGGAUGGCUCGGGCGAGUAUAGCGUUGGCCUGCAGUGAACACAUACAUCAGUACAAGAAGUAAAGGUCAAAGUUAAUAGCAGCAACCAGAUUGACAAAGGGAAUUACCUGGGUCUGAGCUCGAACAUAGGCCACCAAGAAUUGAUCGGGAGAGUACCCUUUAAACCGGUCGUCGUCACCAGGAAAUUUGAAGUGAUCGAAGAGGGUAAAAGGGAAGACCUCUGACGGGCUCUUGGGCCAACAGGUGGUCGGUGAUCCCCGAGAAGAGCUGAGACCGGAAGAAGGAGUGGCGGAACGGUCCAGACCGGGGACCACCAUCUCUCCUGUCGGCUGAUCGGAACCUUCCGACAACCGAGGCCUUUUUGAUCGGGGUUCGGGAGGAACCUCUUCGGUGUCCUCAGAAUCCUCGACCGCCUCGGUUGACGGAGGGGGCGGCGGGAGAGUCGGCUUCGGCAGAAAAGGCGGAACGACUUUUGCAGGCGCUUUGACGGUCGGCUUGGAGGGCUUCUUGGACUUUUUUAGUAAAGCCGCCUUCUCCGCGCGGCUCAUCUUCAGCGCCCCUCUUUGUGUGGUCGGGGGCUCGGGCCCCAAAGUGGACCCCAACGACAGUUCGCUGAUCGGGACCGUAUCCUCCUCAGGAGCAUCGUCGGUCACUGGGGGUCGGAUGAACCCGGGGGUGACGGUGGCAGGGAUGAAGGCGUCGACAACGCCCUCUGGCUUGAAAAUGGUCACUGCACGGGGACAAAUGGGUUAAGGCAUGGAAAGCUUCAGAAAAUAGGAGGAAAAAUAAUGAAAAACAGAAGGAUACUCACAGCCGUGUUUGUACAACCAGGCUUCGUUCAUCAGAAGCCCCAGAUUCCAUUGGGUCCUUUGCCAUUGCUUGUAGAAUGUCUUGAAGGCAUCGGCUCGGCCCUUCGGGAACUUUGAAAUCUUCGCCGCCUGGUCGGCUGGAUGGGCCCAGGGGGGAAGGAGUUGGAGGUCGGUUCCCUUGGCAAAAAACCACUGUUCAUGCCACCCCUUGUUGCUUGAAGGGGUCUUGAUCGGGACGGUGCGGUUGGGGCGUUUGUUGAGUUGCCGAAGACCGGGCUCUUUCGAACCACUAACGGUGAACAGGGCAAAGAAUAGAUCGAGCCCGGGAUUGAGACCCACCUCUUGGCAGACGGCUAUGAAAGAGACUAAGUGGAUGUACGCGUUCGGCACAAGCUGCGUGAACCCGACUCCCACAAAGCUCAAGAAGGAAGAAAUGAAAUCGUGAAGUGGGAACCGAACCCCGUACUUUAGAACGUACAGGGGGACGACUACCCACUCGCCCUCGGGACGCCAAAACAUCUUCUCAUCGGGCAUAGGCACUCGAAGUUGGUAUUCUUCAGGAAUCUUAAAAAGGGACCGGAUGUCAGAAAUCUGUGAGGGGGUGAUGGUGGAAGGAGUAUGAAGGUGAGAAAACUCCUCCGACGAAUAGUAUGCAUUUCGAAUCCUAGCCUCGGUGUCUACCGGACUAGGCAGGAUCGAAGGAGUGGGGUCGGCAGGGGCAUCCUGCAGUACGACAUCUAGAAGGUCGCCGGUGGUGACGGCGGAGGUAGCGGUGAUAGGCUCAGUGGCCGGAAUAGUGCUGGAUUUGGCCAUUUAAAAAGAAUGUGAUGCAAAUAAGAAGUUUUGGAGGGGAGAUAAGCAAAAAUAGCACUCAAAUGACAGUACAGUUGAGGAAAAUGGUGCAGAUUGGGUAAGAGAUAAGCUUGCCGGAAAUCGCCUUGCCGGAGAAUUUGAAAGCAAAGAGUCAGUAAAAGUGAUAAUGAGGGGGGAAGGGGAGUUUUUAUAAGGAGUACGACAUGGAACCCCAAGGCGGCUAUUAAAUACUGGAGGUGGGCCCAGGCGUGAAAAGGCGUGCAACGUUUCAAAUAUCAAGAAGGGACUGUACGGCUUCCACAGACAGUUCAUCAUUAUCUGUCAUGACCGUUCAAGUCCUGACCUUUCAAGUCUCCAAUCAUAAAUAUGUUAUGAUUAGAGACUGGGGGGCAAUGUUCGGGAGCGUUUUACCGACCCUCCAUUGGGCCGAAGAUUCAAUACCAGAAGGGCUGGAGAGACCGAUGGGCCGAAGCCCAUGAAGGUGUUGGAGGUGUUCGGGUCGGCAUUUGAGCCCUCCGGGACCAUAGCCGAACCUGGUCUUGUGAUGUUCGGGGUCGGGUCUUCGAGUUCUUUGGGCCGAAGCCCAGGUUAGAUUAUAGGACCGUUUGGGCCUGCACAGUGGGCUCUCCUGCGUGCAGAGUCUGGGUACCUAUUCAUAUGCAUAUAAGGUAACUCCAAAGGUGGUGAUGAGAUUGGACUCUACUUGCACCUUUUAAGGAGAUGGCGUUGGACCCAAGUUAUGGUAAUUACCAUAUACUAGGAGUCCUAAUCCGACUGGGAGAAGGAUUCUAAGGUGGUGAGUACUAUAAAUAUGAGACCUAGGUUAUCAUUAUGAGGUAAUACCUAUUUUUAAGCACUAAAUACUUAUCCUCCAUUGUUAAACUUUGUAACGGCCUGUACUCAUUCU